rnacentral:rRNA from 1 species
CCUACGGGGGGCUGCAGUGGGGAAUAUUGGACAAUGGGGGCAACCCUGAUCCAGCCAUGCCGCGUGUGUGAAGAAGGCCCUCGGGUUGUAAAGCACUUUCAGUGAGGAAGAACGCCUGGUGGUUAAUACCCAUCAGGAAGGACAUCACUCACAGAAGAAGCACCGGCUAACUCCGUGCCAGCAGCCGCGGUAAUACGGAGGGUGCGAGCGUUAAUCGGAAUUACUGGGCGUAAAGCGCGCGUAGGUGGCUUGAUAAGCCGGUUGUGAAAGCCCCGGGCUCAACCUGGGAACGGCAUCCGGAACUGUCAAGCUAGAGUGCAGGAGAGGAAGGUAGAAUUCCCGGUGUAGCGGUGAAAUGCGUAGAGAUCGGGAGGAAUACCAGUGGCGAAGGCGGCCUUCUGGACUGACACUGACACUGAGGUGCGAAAGCGUGGGUAGCAAACAGGAUUAGAUACCCGGGUAGUC